AUGGCGACAACAGCUUUGGCAAACGGCCUAAGAAAAAAUCGAAAAAAUCGUGCAUGUGUACAUUCCCAUGCGGUCAAACCCCACCACCACCGUCGGAACCUGAUGUGCCAGAGCCGCCCGAAGUGCCAGUGCCCGGGCCACCGCCGAGGGCCGGCCAUAUUUAUUGAGUGAGUAAAUGAUCAUAUGUAUGAACCUGAGGUCUCGAGGAAAGAGAGGAAACAAUCACUGCUUAAUUUGUACACAUGCAUGAUUGAUUGCAUAAGAAUGACAAUAAUAAUAAUCUAAAGUGAAUCAACAGUAAACAUAAGUGUCUCUACCAUGGAUCAUAGUGUGGAGUAACUUAGACUAGUAACAUGCAUAUAUUACUGGUCUAUAUUACUAC
rnacentral:lncRNA from 1 species